rnacentral:rRNA from 1 species
CUGCGGGUGCUAUACAUGCAAGUCGAGCGGACAGAAGGGAGCUUGCUCCCGGAUGUUAGCGGCGGACGGGUGAGUAACACGUGGGUAACCUGCCUGUAAGACUGGGAUAACUCCGGGAAACCGGAGCUAAUACCGGAUAGUUCCUUGAACCGCAUGGUUCAAGGAUGAAAGACGGUUUCGGCUGUCACUUACAGAUGGACCCGCGGCGCAUUAGCUAGUUGGUGAGGUAACGGCUCACCAAGGCGACGAUGCGUAGCCGACCUGAGAGGGUGAUCGGCCACACUGGGACUGAGACACGGCCCAGACUCCUACGGGAGGCAGCAGUAGGGAAUCUUCCGCAAUGGACGAAAGUCUGACGGAGCAACGCCGCGUGAGUGAUGAAGGUUUUCGGAUCGUAAAGCUCUGUUGUUAGGGAAGAACAAGUGCAAGAGUAACUGCUUGCACCUUGACGGUACCUAACCAGAAAGCCACGGCUAACUACGUGCCAGCAGCCGCGGUAAUACGUAGGUGGCAAGCGUUGUCCGGAAUUAUUGGGCGUAAAGGGCUCGCAGGCGGUUUCUUAAGUCUGAUGUGAAAGCCCCCGGCUCAACCGGGGAGGGUCAUUGGAAACUGGGAAACUUGAGUGCAGAAGAGGAGAGUGGAAUUCCACGUGUAGCGGUGAAAUGCGUAGAGAUGUGGAGGAACACCAGUGGCGAAGGCGACUCUCUGGUCUGUAACUGACGCUGAGGAGCGAAAGCGUGGGGAGCGAACAGGAUUAGAUACCCUGGUAGUCCACGCCGUAAACGAUGAGUGCUAAGUGUUAGGGGGUUUCCGCCCCUUAGUGCUGCAGCUAACGCAUUAAGCACUCCGCCUGGGGAGUACGGUCGCAAGACUGAAACUCAAAGGAAUUGACGGGGGCCCGCACAAGCGGUGGAGCAUGUGGUUUAAUUCGAAGCAACGCGAAGAACCUUACCAGGUCUUGACAUCCUCUGACAACCCUAGAGAUAGGGCUUUCCCUUCGGGGACAGAGUGACAGGUGGUGCAUGGUUGUCGUCAGCUCGUGUCGUGAGAUGUUGGGUUAAGUCCCGCAACGAGCGCAACCCUUGAUCUUAGUUGCCAGCAUUCAGUUGGGCACUCUAAGGUGACUGCCGGUGACAAA